CCUACGGGGGGCUGCAGUGGGGAAUAUUGGACAAUGGGGGGAACCCUGAUCCAGCCAUGCCGCGUGUGUGAAGAAGGCCCUCGGGUUGUAAAGCACUUUCAGUGAGGAAGAACGCCUGGUGGUUAAUACCCAUCAGGAAAGACAUCACUCACAGAAGAAGCACCGGCUAACUCCGUGCACAGCAGCCGCGGUAAUACGGAGGGUGCGAGCGUUAAUCGGAAUUACUGGGCGUAAAGCGCGCGUAGGUGGCUUGAUAAGCCGGUUGUGAAAGCCCCGGGCUCAACCUGGGAACGGCAUCCGGAACUGUCAAGCUAGAGUGCAGGAGAGGAAGGUAGAAUUCCCGGUGUAGCGGUGAAAUGCGUAGAGAUCGGGAGGAAUACCAGUGGCGAAGGCGGCCUUCUGGACUGACACUGACACUGAGGUGCGAAAGCGUGGGUAGCAAACAGGAUUAGAUACCCUGGUAGUC
rnacentral:rRNA from 1 species